GGAGAUAGCCUGCCUCUCCAGGUGGAUGACAGUCAAGUGAGUGCAGCUACAGAGGAGGAAGGGAGAGGGAGAGAGAGACAGACAUGUCUGAACUGUCAAAUUCUCCCAGCAGCUCCAACAGCAGGAGCCUGCAGUGAAGACCAUGGUGACACAGGCUGUCCCCCUGCAGCCCACGGAGGUCCAUGGCGGAGCAGAUAUGCACCCUGCAGCCGACGGAGGACCCCUCGCCAGAGCAGGCGGAUUCACCCGAAGGAGGCUGUGACGCUGUGGAGAGGAGCCCACACUGGAGCAGGUUUUCUGGCAGGACCUGCGGCCCCAUGGGAGUGACACCACACUGGAACAGAAGAAGAGCACAAAGAAGGAAGGAGCAGCAGAGACAACUUGUGAUGAACUGACUGCAACCCCCCCCUCCUUCUCCCCCUGUGCUGCUCGGUAGGAGGAGGUAGAGAAGUCAGGAGUGAAGAUGAGCCCAGGAAAAAAAGAGAGGGGUGGGG